AACGCACAUUGCGCCCCUUGGUAUUCCGAGGGGCAUGCCUAUUCGAGCGUCAUUAUCACCCCUCAAGCCUAGCUUGGUGUUGAGACCUGCUGUCAAGGCAGUCUCUAAUAUCAGUGGCAGUGCUGUCAGGCUCUAAGCGUAGUAAAUUCAUCGCUAUAGACACCUGGUGGCCACUCGCCAGAACCCCCCCAUUUUUUAAUGAUUGACCUCGGAUUAGGUAGGGAUACCCGCUGAACUUAA
rnacentral:misc_RNA from 1 species